GCCAGCUGACACCAGUUCACAGGCAACGCAGAAAGCCUGUAGACCUCAUUCCCGGAGCACAGAAAGCCCUGCGUUUGGCUGGAAUUAAGGGGAGAACCUGAGCGGCCCUACACCCUCGUGAAAGGAAGCAGAUCACGGGCUCUCAGGCAGCCAGCUGUCUCUGUGACACGGGGCAAAACGGCCAGUCUUUCUAGCGUGUGUGUCUGGGAGAGGCACCCUCUCUGAUCAGCAUCCCUGUGACGUGUGUUCUCAGCAGCUAAGCAGGACCGCAGUGCUGAGUGUCGCUUUCGCCUUGCUCAGAUCUGAAUGCAUGAGCCUGUAACUCAAGACUGAAUUCGCAUUUGUGCAUUGGUACAUGAAGAGAAACGCACUGGGAGACCCAGCUGGAUUCUGCUUUGGGUCCUGGAGCCGUCCCCCAGUGGCUGUCACACGGGAGCCUGGGAAGCCUGCAGCACGGCACAACUGCUGCGUGAUUGGCUGCUCUUCUCAUCUGAGAUGCAGGACUGGCAUUCAUCUUUCGUCUGGGGAAGGGCUGGGACUAGCUGGCUUCCAGAAACACACCCUGGCAGAGCUGGGCACACAAGAAGUCAGGCAGACUUGGCUCUGUUCUACUGCCAGAAAGCCAUCAAUCCGCACCGACUGAUUUUCCUGUCACGCAGGAACUCCCACCCCCACCCUGAUCCCCAUGCUGCUCUUUCAAGGAAAUCCUCAUCUCCCCCUGGGCUGGGCACAGUCCCACCCGCUCAGAGGAUGCCCUGGGGGCCCCCUCCUGCAGGAGCACACCCACCCUGACCUCCCUCGCUGCUGGGGCCCCUGGCCAGAUACUCAGUCAAAAAGUCUUCAAGUGACCUCCGCGGGAAAGCUGAUGUUAACCUCGCUGCUGGGGGUGCUAACUCAGACAGACGCUGUCUUGCCUUUUCCAGGCAUACACAACACUAGUUAGAAAUGGUAACUGCCAAGGACAAGUAAAGACAGAAAAUGCAGACAGUAAGAAAGCACAUUGUUAAGUAAAGGUGCUGUUAUAAUGGCCUCCAUAGCUGGGAAAAAAAUAAAAUUUUUCCACACAGACUUUGUCUUUAUGUUCCUGAAUCAUAAAGCUCAGUGGAAGUCUGAGUCUGUUAAGUGCCUGACCCAGACUCACCAAGCUCUGGUGACUUCAGAGAGCCGGUAUCAAGGAGGCUUAAACUAAACUAUCUGGAUUGACUGUGUUAAUCAAAUGACCACACAUGAAUUGCUAAAAUGAUUCAUGUCCACUUCUCUUUGUAUUAUGUAAACCUUAUGCGUUGCUUUUCAAAGUCCUGUUGUGAGAAUGUAUGAGGUCUUGCCGAAAUGCAGCCCUGAUGUGAAAAGUGGUAACUGUGUGGGAGGCGCUGGGUCUCCUCCCAACGCUGUAACCUGACUGAACCUCAGGGCGCUGGUUAGCCAGGUGCUGCGGGCACGGGCCUCAGGUCAUGGCUGGACUGGAAUGUGAACCUUGGCAAGCGAUCAGAGCCCCGGCCUGGCCGGGCGCCUCCAACUCAAGCGCUGGACAUAAGGAAGGAAGGCAGACGGGGAUGAGAACUGCAGAUCCACAGCCAAGGGUGUCAGCAAAACCGUCAACAGACACACCCUCACGCUGCUCCAAACCAUCCAUCACCUUUGGUGAUUCAGCCUCCACCUGGGUGUAAAAGCUGCAAAAGAACGACCCCCCCCCCCAGAAAUGGCAAAAAACUGGCUAAUCUACAAAAUCAUGACUUUUCUGGAGCUGAUCAGAGAGCCGAGGUUACAGGCCACCAAGCAGACGGAGUUUCAAAGAGGGACCAGCCCCUCCAGGAGAGGCCAGGGCAGGACCGCUGUGCAGCACGAGGAAGGAGGCAAGUAAGGGGACAUCAGGCAGAAUGUUAGCAGAUUUCCAAGGCCGCGAGCGGCGCAGCAUGUCCCGUUGGAAUAGCUGGAGGUCCAGACAGAGAGGGAGACCCCAGCCUCUCACAAAGGAGACUGGAGCCCCUUGGUGCCAGGGACAGACGUGAGCACCUGCCCCUGCGGACCGGCCCAAAGCCCACCCAUGUACCCUUACCUCCUGGAGGAGUAAAAGCAGAACCAGCUGCCCAGGGGGAGGAACAGAAAGCCCCUCUGCCCCAGCACACAAGUAACGCCCCUUGGCUUCCCCGGGAGAGGAAGACACUUAGUGUCCUGCCCUGGAGGAAGAACGGGACACCUCGAAAUUGUGGAUCAGUUAACAUAACCCAUGUCUCCACAUUUUCACUUAUCUAUUUAAUGAUUACUAUCUUCCCCAAUUUGAGGUAGCUUAGGAUAAAAUAUAAUUAAACAGUAAGCUUCAAGAAACCAAAAUCAGAAAACACUCUGCAAAUGUAUGUGUGUAUACAUGACUGGGACACUGUGCUGUACACCAGAAACUGACACA